UUGGUGUAACGAGGUAGGAACU
rnacentral:miRNA from 1 species